rnacentral:lncRNA from 1 species
CCCUACACUGCACUACUAUCUUCUUUUGUUUUCUUGUCUUUAAACGGCCAAAAUCAACAACACAUUAAAAAAUAGAGCAACUCCCAUGUACCUAUUUCUCUCUCUUUCUUCUUUCAAUAAACACAAUCUAAACAAUAAAUACCGAUUUUCCCCUUGGAUUCUUUGGAGCACAGUCUCCCUCCAAUCUAGAAAGGAGGAAGAGAGGUCAUUUGUAUGGAUGUCCCUGUUGGGUUUUUUGAUAGCCUCUGGAGUUUUAUCUCUACCAAUUGGUUGUCUCAUUCAUUAGCAGGCCGAUAAACGUAAUACAUGAAAUCAGAUCUAAAACUGAAAUAUUAGCAAUAAAUCGGAGAUCAGAUCGUAACUAGCGGAACAUAUGUUUUCAUUUAUGAUGUGAGAUAUGAUGGGCAGAAUUGUGGUAAUAACCAAUCCGCUAGUUCUUCUAGCUGACGGCCUCCAAAGAAUCCAAGGGUAAAAUCGGUAUCUAUUGUUUAUAUAAUUAAGUGCAAAGGUCCAAAAAUGUCCCUCAUCUUUACCUCGAAAUCCCACCUACACCCUAAAGGAAACAAAUCAUGUAGUAAAAAUUGAAGACACCGGCCUAGUGCAAAAUUAGAUACCAGAUGACAAGGCAUCUCCUGAGGCUAUCAAUUUAAAUUGCUUAGGACCUACUGAAGAGAGCAGUGGAGUUGAGAAAUCAAAAGGGGUUGGAGGUUCUAUCUCUCUUGAUAGUGAUCAGGAGCUUCAAGCUGAUUGUUUAAUAAAGAAAUAUCCUAAAAACAAAUUAAGUAAAGAACAAAACUAACACCAAUUAAUCACUCAACAAAUGCCUAAACUAUAACAAAUAUCCUAAAAACAGAGACUUUUCUGUCCCAAUUCAUUUUAUUUCUUAAAAACCUAAAAUUCAAACACAUGUAUACAUAAUUUAUAUAUCAGGACAUACAAUCAUACAUAGAUUAACAUAGAUAGAAAAGAGAAACUCAUACCCGCAUUUGAUGAGGGAUAAAUUCGCAGAUCGAAGGGUUUUGAUACUUUAUAACUGAUCUUUCCCUCUCUAAAGACUUGGUUGUUUCUCUCUCCUCUAUUGAUUUUGAAGGAGAGAUGUGAAGAAGAAAGGAGAUAGAGAAACCAGAGAAACUCAUACCCGGACUUGGUUUUGUUUUUCUCUCCUCUCAUGAUUUCAGUUUUGUGAUUUUGGAACAGAGGAAGAAGAAAAGAGAGAGAAAAAGAA